AUUGAACGCUGGCGGCAGGCCUAACACAUGCAAGUCGAGCGGAUGAAGGGAGCUUGCUCCUGGAUUCAGAGGCGGACGGGUGAGUAAUGCCUAUGAAUCUGCCUGGUAGUGGGGGGUAACGUCUUCAAACGGGCGCUAAUACUGCAUACUACGUGAGGGGGAAGGUGGGGGAGCUUCGGACCUCAUGCUAUCAGAUGAGCCUAGGUGGGAUUAGCUAGUUGGUGGGGUAAAGGCCUACUAAGCCGACGAUCCGUAACUGGUCUGUGUGAAUGAUCAGUCACACUGGAACGGAGACACGGACCAGGCGCCUGCGGGAGGGAGCAGUGGGGAACAGUGGACAAUAGUCGAGAGCCUUAUCCAGCGAGGCCGCGUGUGUGAAGAAGGUCUUCGGAGUGUAAAGCACUUUAAGUGGUGAGGAAGGGCAGUAAGUUAAGACCUUGCGGGAUUGACGGUACCAACAGAAGAAGCACCGGCUAACUACGUG
rnacentral:rRNA from 1 species